rnacentral:rRNA from 1 species
UAGGGAAUAUUGCGCAAUGGACGCAAGUCUGACGCAGCGACGCCGCGUGGGUGAUGAAGGCUUUCGGGUCGUAAAGCCCUGUCGGAAGGGAAGAAAAACGGAAUGGCUAAUAUCCAUACCGAUUGACGGUACCUUUAAAGGAAGCACCGGCUAACUACGUGCCAGCAGCCGCGGUAAUACGUAGGGUGCAAGCGUUGUUCGGAAUCAUUGGGCGUAAAGCGCGUGUAGGCUGUUAGCUAAGUCAGGUGUGAAAUCCCUCGGCUCAACCGGGGAAGUGCAUUUGAAACUGGCUAGCUGGAAGAUGGUAGAGGAAGGUGGAAUUCCAAGUGUAGAGGUGAAAUUCGUAGAUAUUUGGAGGAAUACCGGUGGCGAAGGCGGCCUUCUGGACCAUUCUUGACGCUGAGACGCGAAAGCGUGGGGAGCAAACAGGAUUAGAUACCCCGGUAGUCC